AUUGUUGAUUACACAGCAAAAUCACCAGUGUUAAAUUUUCAGGGAUGGUGUUAAAUACACAGUGUUGAUGCUGUUUUAACACUAUCUGGUAAUAAAAUAACACUGCCAUUGCUAGGCCAGUGUUAUAUCCAUGACAGUGUCAGUGUAAAACAAGGGUGUUAUCAGAUUUCACUCUGAGCGGUGUAAAUCAAGCCACGCCUCCACUAAACAUUUCCUGUCAGGGAUUUUACCGCCAUUUUCUUUCAAAGGAGGACUGAAGAGAGCAGGUAAAUCUCAUAAUAUUCACUUGGUUUAGCUAAAUUAAACUGUUAUUUCUCUGUCUGACUCUACGCAGCCAUAUGCCAAAAAACCUAAAUAAGAUAUUUUUCCCAUUUUAUUUCCCGUUUGUUCGUUAUUUGGUUCAGUUUAAUCAGAGCUACCUUGUGUUACGUUGUUCCCUUGUUAGUUUGGUAUAAAGUUAAACUUCUAGCUAAAAGUUUUAACCAAGAAGGAUAAUAUUAACAGGAGAUAUGAAUGAAUGUAAGAAUUGAACCCUGAUAAAACGCGACAUGCACUACAAAUUGAAGGUAUGAAAUUAAGUUAAAUGAAAGCUCGUUUAUUCACCAUAUGAUGCUCGUUAUGAGGUAAUCAUAUAGGCUAGAUACCGCGAGUUAACGAGGUCGUUUACAUGCACGUGAGUGCACGGAUAUCGGUUAAUUAUUCAAAUUACUGAAAAACACGGAGAAAACCGCAACCGCAUCGUCAUGUGUUUUUUUUUUUAGAUGUAUGCAAACAGGGAAAAUAUCGCCAAACCAACAAUUAAUUUUACCUCAGAAUAUGCACAGAUUGGAUGCAUUGUGUGUUGUAAGCUUUUCGUGGCGCUAGAUGUCAGACAGAUGCAAAUAGCAAAUACAUACGAAAGUGUAAAACGUGUAUGGCAAACAUUUGUUUUUCUGUCAUUAUAGAUGCUAGUUUGGUGAAAGUACACACUGAGUGCUUCAAAUCAUUUAGAAGAAGAGAUGCUGUUUUUAGGGCAGUUUAUUAAAGAAGACCUGACAUGGAUGACUUCCAAUUAGAAACGACUGCUAAUACUUACAUAAAUUCAUUACAGAAGGACCCUACCAGACUAUAUUUGAAUACGGCAUAGGCCUACCCAUGAAUUCUGGAAGUUUUAUUCCUUAACCCAGUUUGGAGGAUAAGAGCUUACCAACUAUAAAUAUGCUGAGGCGAUGUAUUGCAAAAUAGCCAACAUACAACAAUUAAAGGAUAAUUGCAGCCUAUAUCCUUAUGAAGAUAUGGAUGACCCUCUGUCUGGUCAACAGGAGUUUAAAUAUGGACGGGACAGUGAUGUGGCAGCUCUUCCCUGACUCAUUCACCUCUUGCCUUCAUUUGUGAAAGGAGGAAAGACUGGAGAGGGUCAAUGUGCAACUGAAGCUACUGAUUGUGCUGUGUGAUGAGCAUCAAUCCAUGCUUUGAGGUGGAUGGAUCAGCACAGCCCUGCCUGCUCUGCGUUGGGAACAAAAGUUGCAUCCAGAAUUUUUGCAUCAUUCUGGACCAAAAAGCCAUUCCCUGCAUGAUGAAGACCACUGAUGCAGCCUUCCACUACUGUACAGUAAAACAACUACAGAACUAAAUACCAGGUUGGAACGUGUUUAAGAAAAAUGAAACGUCUUUUGAAUUGAAAUGUCUGUUUUGUUAUGGAAAAAUCUUUAGUAUUGUGAAGGAUAAGCAUUUCUGCUUGCCGAUAAGGUAAUUGCAUGUAUUUUAAUGUUCAAGUUUUGAGUAGGGUGGCUAAUUUUUUUAACUCUUAUUUGAUUUAUUAAAGACUUUAUAAUAAGUGGUUUUCAUGUCGCUGCACUGUGGCAUAAG